GGGCGGUUAGCUCAGCGGGAGAGCACAUGCCUUACAAGCAUGGGGUCGGCGGUUCAAAUCCGCCACUGCCCA
rnacentral:tRNA from 1 species